GUUGACUCCCUGUACAAUACCUCUCCCUUUCACUUCACUCUAAGUACUCUUAACAAUAUCUUGAAAUAUAGUUUCUGGUUAUUUGUUUUCAGUCAAGUCAUAUUAUUGAGGACUGCAGGGUGGGAGAUGCAACAAUGUCCUUGAGAACAGCAGGAAGUGUGUUGGUGGUCUUUCUCUGGUCUGUAGCAGUGGUACUGGGUCAGGAUGGCUGGAGUGUUACAUACACCACUCAGAGUAUCUGUACCUUGAAGGGGUCAUCAGUGGAUCUGUUCUGCUCUUACACAUAUCCCAGUGGUCAUAAAGUCACAACAACCUUCUGGUUCACUGAAAUUGUAAAUCUGAGAGACGACCCAGACAACAAAGGUCGUGUGACGUACCGUAGUGAUAGGAUGAAUGGCCACACCCUGAAAAUCACAGACCUGAGAGAGAGUGACUCAGCUGAGUACAAGUUCACAUUUAUAACAGAUCAGACUGGAGAGAAAUAUACUGGUGAUCCUGGAGUCACUCUGUCUGUUACAGGUACAGUAACAUUCUAUAUACUGGUGAUCCUGGAGUCACUCUGUCUGUUACAGGUACAGUUACAUUCUAUAUACUGGUGAUCCUGGAGUCACUCUGUCUGUAACAGGUAACAUUCUAUAUACUGGUGAUCCUGGAGUCACUCUGUCUGUUACAGGUACAGUUACAUUCUAUAUACUGGUGAUCCUGGAGUCACUCUGUCUGUUACAGGUACAGUUACAUUCUAUAUACUGGCGAUCCUGGAGUCACUCUGUUACAGGUACAGUAACAUUCUAUAUACUGGUGAUCCUGGAGUCACUCUGUUACAGGUACAGUUACAUUCUAUAUACUGGUGAUCCUGGAGUCACUCUGUCUGUUACAGGUACAGUUACAUUCUAUAUACUGGUGAUCCUGGAGUCACUCUGUUACAGGUACAGUAACAUUCUAUAUACUGGUGAUCCUGGAGUCACUCUGUUACAGGUACAGUAACAUUCUAUAUACUGGUGAUCCUGGAGUCACUCUGUCUGUUACAGGUACAGUUACAUUAUAUAUACUGGUGAUCCUGGAGUCACUCUGUCUGUUACAGGUACAGUAACAUUCUAUAUACUGGUGAUCCUGGAGUCACUUUGUAACAGACCUGCAGGUGAAGGUGGCCACUACAUGGUGGUCAACUACACUGACCUGUAGCACCACCUGUACUCUGACUGGUAACCCCACCUACACCUGGUACAGGAACAGUAAGAUUGUACAAAAGGACCCCUCCCCUCGUACACAUUCUACUUUAAAAGUGAAGACAGCUUCUACUGUGCUGUAAAAGGCAUCAAUUCUCCUGCAGUGUACGGCCCAAAGAAAACCUCAGUGUCAGUCAGUCCCUCUGGUGAAAUAGUGGAGGGCAGUUCAGUGACUCUGACCUGCAGCAGUGAUGCCAACCCACCUGUGGACAAAUACACCUGGUACAAGAAGAACGUAACCUCACCAAAAGCAUCAGGACAGAGUUACAGCAUCACUAACAUCAUCUCUGAGGACAGAGGAGAAUAUUACUGUGAGGCCCAGAAUACAAUAGCUUCUAAGAUCUCUACAGCUCAGAUGAUCAUUGUAACAGGGAAACAAACCUCAGUUCUGACUGCAGCUGUAGGGAUCACAGUGUUUAUUCUGGUUCUCAUCCUCUUUCUCCCUUGCUUCAUGUGGUUCAGGAGAUCCACAGGAGGAAGUGAUGUCACAGCAGACACACAG